GCGUAGGAAACUACCCAGUAGUGGGGACGAACAGUUGGUAACGAACUGCUAAUACCGCAUACGCUCUACGGAGGAAAGGGGGGCGUUCGGCUCUCGCUAUUGGAUGUGCCUGCGUGAGAUUAGCUAGUUGGUGGGGUAAAGGCCUACCAAGGCAACGAUCUCUAGCUGGUCUGAGAGGAUGAUCAGCCACACUGGGACUGAGACACGGCCCAGACUCCUACGGGAGGCAGCAGUGGGGAAUAUUGGACAAUGGGCGCAAGCCUGAUCCAGCCAUGCCGCGUGUGUGAAAGAAGGCUUUCG
rnacentral:rRNA from 1 species